UUAAUAAAAAAACAUAGGAGAGAAUCGAACUUGAGUUAGUGUGGGUGCACAAAUUGCCUUUUUACCAUUUUAACUAACAAAUUCUACUUGUUUUAAGCUUACAUUUUAAAAUUUUAUUAUUUAUGUGGGUGCACAUGCACCCUCUACUCAUAACCUGCCUUCGCCCCUGGAUGGAGAUAAGGCUGGACAGGGAAAAGCUAUAGCCGAAACAGGAGAUAAGAUUAUUCAUGAGGGUGGGCAGCGAUCUGCUGAAAAACAGAUUGAGGUGGUACGUUCAGUUUCUUGGAUAUACAUGUGUAUAUGAGUUAUGUCUUAAUACGAGCUUUAUCUUAUUAAAUGUAGGAAAAGAAAGUAGGUGCAAUUAAAGAAACAAAGAAUCUUGGUAAGAGACCACGUACUAAUGAAGCUCGCAAUAUUGCCGAGAAGGUGAGGGCACUCCUUUCUUAGUUUGAUGCAUGUCUAUUAAGAAAACAUGUUGCAUUCAACCUUUUAUCUCUCACAACGCAGAGGAGACGCGCUGAUAUAAAAACCAAAAUUGAGCAUCUGAAGCAGUUGACACCCAAUUGCAAAAAGGUGUACACCAUUUGUUUACCUCUUUAGUUUUCAUCUCUUAUAUUGUCAUUUUGAAUACAAAGAUUUGCUGUUACAAAAAAAAAAGAAAAAAAAAAAGAAUACAAAGAUUUGCGUUUGCGUUUGUGUUUCUUAAGUUAAAAACAUGUUGCUGAUAUAUAAAAACGCUCCGUUCUGGCCAACAGAUUCGGUGUAGUUAAAUUUAUCCAUUCAUUAUAUUGAAAAAUACAUUAAAACUACUAAAAUCUUCUCUCAUUUGCGUUUUUGAAAUUUAUAUAAAAUCUACCUAUAAUAUUGUCUUCUCUUUUUGAAACACAAUAAAUUAACAUGUAAAUUUAAAAACAGCCUCUAACUAAAAAUAAUAAUAAAACAAUUGAGUCUAUAUUACUUAUUCUUUGUUUUGAUUUAAAAUUAAUUUGUCAUAUAUAUGAAUCUGCAGAGAGACAUAGCCUCGACCCUUGAUUGUAUCAUCGAUAAUAUACGCUGGAUGAAGCAUUAUGUAGAAGUAAGUAAACUAAAUCAUCAACUUCUUAUAUAUACAUAUACAGAGACAUGUAUAACUAACUAAAGUUUAAUCUUGAUUUUCUGGUUAAGAAAAAAAGUUAUAUUAAAAAAAGCUGCAUUUUGGUAUGUAAUUUUAGACAAUUUCUUGUUUUUUUAAAAUAAAAAUAAAACUAGUUUCCAAUAAAAUUAUGUUUCAGUUUCAGUUGGAUUUAGUUUUGACAUUUUGUUCUCAUAUACGAAGUAUAUACACAGUUUGGUCUGGUUUGGAUAACUUUUCUUGUUUACAUUGGCAUGGGGGGUAUCAAUUUUUCUAGUUUUAAAAAAAUAUAGAACUGUAAAUAUAAAUUGAGUGUCAUAUUUUUAUACGUUGCAUGAGACAAAGGACACAUAUAACGAAACUUGCCAUGAACAAACUACAAAAUGUAACAAUACAGAGUCAGAGCAUGGGUCCCAUGUUACCACUUGGAAUGAAGAUGGAUUUUCCGGCACCAUGGUUCCCUUUUAGCCCUCCCAACUUCAUCAUGCCGCGGUUCGGUUCUUUUACCCCAGGAGAAACUAGCGGUGGCAAUCAACAAAGUGUACCUGUUACUACCAAGAAUUUAUAGGGAUUCAACAAUCAGCCGUACUCGUCAAAAUGUACGUGAGGUAGUGGUGUUUGAUCAAUACUUUAGACGCAUGGUAUCCUUCGUUUUUAGUAAUAUAUAUGUUUAUUGUGUAGUAGUUUAGAGUUGUUCUCCCAAGUUUCCAAGACUGUGGCAUGCUCUUUUGUUCGUUCGCCGCGUUGUUAUUAUGUUGUCACUAUAGUAUUGUUCAUCGUAAACUUAUACGCAUAGUUUUAUAUUAAGCUGUUUACAUGCAAAGUUUUAUAUUAUGCUGGAUCUACAUAACGCUUUCAGGAUCAUAUUAGAAAAAUAUGGAAAUAACAAAAAUGUUCUAGAAAGACCUGUGAUUCAGUUGCAAAACAAAAAGGUCACUAGAAACUUGGAUGGAGUAAUUUCAUCCAACUUAAGAGAUUAAAUUGUAGUUCAAGGAUACACGAAAAAGAAGAAAGCAACAACCUCUUCAUUCAUAUAGUAUGUUAUCGUACCAGCGACAAAUGCUUCAACAUAUUCAGUUCUCUCUUUUUUUUUUUUAAAUAUAAAUCGAGAGGGGCCCUGAUUGAGAGUCGAGUGAAGCAGCUGAACCAGUGUAAGAAGUUUCACUACAAAAAAACAUAGAUGUAAGAAUUAACGAAAAAUAUAUUUUUUGCUAAAAAAAUAAAUAAGAAGUGGGGUUAGAGUUUGAUAAAUUUGUGUCAAACCAAAGAGAUUGUUGCCUAAAGUUGAAAAUCCUCUAAGAUUUGUUUUUAUGCUUCAUAACUGGGUUUGAUUUUAAGGAGUCUAUGUGUGAUUCAUGAUCCGAUGUGAACGUCAUGUCAAAAACAAUCGCUGAGAAGUUGAGAAUCAAUAGGAUUCAGCCACCCAAGAUGACUCUUACCUUUGCUAACUUCUCUAGAAUUCCAGAAUUACAUGUAUGCGUCAAAAUUUUCUGGUUCAUGUUGAUUUUUAAGUUGUGGAGAUGGUUAAAAAGUCUAUUGUACCAUUGAUUCUUGGAAGGCCAUUCAUGGCUAUAUGCAAUAAUUGAUCUUUUCAACAAGUGAGUGUCAUUUGCAAACAUAGACAAGAAAGUCUUUUACAAGGCAAUUCUUACCAGUAGAAUGCAAAGGCAUGAAUGUUGUAUCAUUGUGGAUGUUGUUCAUAUAAAAGAGGUCAGUGAAAAAAGAGAUGUCAAAGAAAUCCUGGAUGGAGACUCUCAAGUGAAUGUCAGUGAGCAGCCUAGUACCAAAGUCAAACGUGAAAGGCAAAAGGAUCAAGGUAGGUUCUUCUGGAUGGAGAUUCAGUUGAGUAUGAGAUGAAUUGCAAAGGAACAUCGAAACCUUUCUCUAAGAUUAGAGUAUUAUUUUCAUAUGAGUUCAAGCAAAAGGGACAAGAGGAUGUGGGAAGCCUGUUGAAUGGCAUUCUGGAGCUCAGCAUGUCCAACUGUGGAGCUUAUUUUAGAGAAAGUUCUUAUACUCAACCCGGUUGAUUUCCAUUUCAAAGUCGAGCUAAAGACUUUAUACAACAAUUUUGUGGGAGACGAACCACUGGUGGUAAGUGUAAACAAUCUCUCUAUUUUUGUUUUGCAGUUUAAUUUUUAGUGAUAAAACUCUUCACCUAUUUCUGAAUCGGAAGAAAAUAUCUCAAUUAAUUUUUUUUAUUGUUUUAACUUUUCAUCUUACAAACCGUUAAUGAUUCUAAAAAAGGUCACAAAAGACCCAAACCAAAAAAGAACUCAAAAGCCUAGCCACUUGCUCGAAAAGGAAACCCCGCCGCACAACAGGCGAACCACCACAAAAGCAACCACCGAGCCACCACAGACGACACAGUAACAAGGAUCUGGAAAGAGGUAGACACCCGAGAACACGAACGAGACUGCCACCGUAAGAAAUCUAAACAGUCAAAUGCCAGUGAAAAAGGUAAGGUUCAGCAGAAGAAGAUGAUGAGCAGGAGAAGUAGGUGUUAAGGCCGAGCAAGUCGGAGGAAGAGGAUAAUGCCUUUCACGCACUCGCCAUCACUUUCAAACAAUAAUCUUACUCAUGAAUUCCAACAGUUCAAGCUUCUCCAACCUCCCCUCGCCGCUACACACCACCUAACAUAUCAUUUGCUCUCCCUUUCAUGGAAGUAAAAACCAAUCUAAACCAUGUGUUCACAAAAAGGUGUUAAAUAUUAAUUUAUAAAGUGUCUACUAUAAUAUAACAACAAACAUCCCCUCUUUAGCUAAGAACAAAAGAAAAAACCAUUUUGGCAGCGAAAAACUAAGAAAAUUUUGUUUUCAUUUAAUUAUCUUUUUGUGUAUCCUAAAAUGAUGAAAGCUCCGAUCAUUUUUACUUUUACCGAUGUGGCACAUACAUACUUAUUAAAUCUAUUUUGAUAAUAGCUAUUUUAAGUUUUU